rnacentral:tRNA from 1 species
GGGCCUAUAGUUCAGCGGUAGAAUGCGUCCAUGGCAUGGACGAGGUCAGGGUUCGACUCCCUGUAGGUCCACCA